UUGGGCCGCUCCCACGGCAUAUGGAGGUUCCCAGGCUAGGGGUUGAAUCGGAGCUGUAGCCACCGGCCUACGCCAGAGCCACAGCAACGCUGGAUCCGAGCCGCGUCUGCAACCUACACCACAGCUCACGGCAACGCCGGAUCGUUAACCCACUGAGCAAGGUCAGGGACCGAACCCGCAACCUCAUGGUUCCUAGUCGGAUUUGUUAACCACUGCACCACGACGGGAACUCCCCUACCCACACCUUUAGACUCAAUCCCACAGGCAUGCAGAGGCCCUGAGGGUUUUAAAUUUGGGAAUAAAAGGAUCUGAUGCACAUUGAAGCUGGGUCACUCGGGUGGCUGUUGGUGGGGGAAGGAGGUGUAGGGAGAGACAUGAAACACUGCUUUGUUUUAAAAUGAAAUUUGAAAGUCUCUGAAAUUUAUUGGCAAUACAUAGGGCUGGUGUCUGUGAAACACAGUCCACAAAUUUAGGUGUACAUAAGAAAUACAUCUUUUUAUGACUCACCUUAAUUUCUCUUUCAAGCUCCCGAUGGGACCAGGUUGCUUGAGAACUUUCAGCACCAUCUUUUUGAGAGAUUCCCUUGAGAAGAUUGUGCUAAGGUUCAAGGAGCCCUGGGCGGGGGCGGGGGGGGGGUGUCAGGGGCACGGGCAGAUCCUCUCUCUAUUCCAGUUACUUCUGUAUCCUAUAGUCCUGGCCAGCACGGGUGGUCUGUGUGUUCAGGGAGAAAAGGAAGCAGAGAGAUUGAAAGAGGAGAAACCAUAGUUAAGACCCAAAGCGGUUUCCUUCCCCAUGUUGUUGUUGUUGUUGUUUUGUUUUGCUUUUUUGCUUUUUUUAGGGCUGCACCCAAGGCAUAUGGACGUUCUCAGGCUAGGGGUCGAAUGGGAGCUACACCUGCCGGCCCUCACCACAGCCACUGCAACAUGGGAUCUGAGCCUAGUCUGCAAUCUACACCACAGCUCAAGGCAAUGCUGGAUCCUUAAUCCACUGAGCAAGGCCAGGGAUUGAACCCUCAUCCUCACAGACACUAGUGGGAUUCAUUUCCUCAGCGCCAUGACAGGAACUCCCCCCAAUGUUGUUUUUUAAAUUAAAUAAAUAUACAUAUCUGAGGAGGUGACACCAGUAUGUUAGGUAAGAAGUUAUGAAAACCUGAUCUAGGGGACAGAGAGGAGGAAUAGAAGAAGGAGAUUAAAGAAAAAUGUAAGGAGUAAAAUAAGAGCUGGUUUCUGACGGCAGGUGAAGCGUUAAGGAGAGGGUUUGGGGCCCCUGGACCAGGCAAACAGCAAAGGCACCAACCGAGCUAGAAAGCACAGUGGGAGCAGGAAUGGGGGUGGAGGACAUGAUUACCUGGGGCAAUUGAGCUCCAGAGUCCUAGGGAUCACUGGCCAAGAUGGCAUCCUGGCCGCUAGGCUGCCUGAUUCACCAGUUCUGAAGUCCCACAUUCACUUGUCUUAUGUCUUGCUCAGGUUCUGCCACCUCCGUGCCCCUGCAAAAUUUGUAUUUAUUCUUCUACAGACUCAAUCACAUCACCUUCUUUCAAUGUUUCGUGCACAAUUAUACAUUUUCCCUUUGUACACGGAUUAUUCUCUAGGUCCCCCCAUGGCGAAGCUGCCCUAUCGUCUGGGCACUGGAGGAGGCACACCCCUGUGAGACCAGGGGGCAGAGCUGGCUGGCUUCGAUGCCAGCUGUAAGAUCUUAAGCAGGUCACAAGCUUUCUUAGGAUCUGCUCCCUGAUUUGUAAAACAGGGACCGUGAUACAUCCUCUGACCUACAACCAGGGGUGCUAUGGGGAUCCAAUGAUACAAUGUAUGGAAAAGUAUUCUUUAAAGAGGAUACAUUGUUCUCAUGUAAAUGAUUAAGUCACCUCUGCAUGACACUUCCUGUGCCUAUCUGUCCCAUCUUUCUUUCACUCUGCAAAUUUCCUCGCCCUGUAAACCUGAUCUGAGAAACCCACCUCAGGAAGAGCCUGUGUGCGGGGGAGCUGGUGGAGCCGCAGAGGGUGGGCGUGAGGAAGGGGACUGGGUGAUGUGCACUGGGACCUGGGAAGUCAGAGACAGGUGUCGGGACCUGGUCAUCACAGCCAGAGGCCCCAGGCUCCAGACCGAGAUGCUGCAGAAGGCAUUUUUUUUCCCCCUUUUUCACUCUUGGCCAUCUGGUAGAAAUGGCACCUGCUUAUCCCCACUCCAAGCCCAACAAAAUAUAGCUUUCAUCAUUUGAUAGUGUACAUGUACAGCCCAUGCAGAGGCACAAAAAUCAAUGUGCAUUGAUUCCUAAGCUAGGAAUUCAUAAACUUCUUUAAGGUCAUGAAUUGAUUUUCCACUUUUGGUUAAAAAAAAAAGAGAGAGAGAGAGAAAGAGAGAGACUCCAGACCUUUCUGUUCAUUUCUGCUGCCUUUCUUAUCGCCGGGGACACACAGUCCUGCACAUGUGCCCUCACUCACCUGUGAGCCUGGCCACCCGUUCCUCCUUGGCGUCACCAGAAGGGAGAAGCACUUAGAGACAGAGAGGGAGGGAGACACUUAAACACCCUCCUGCAACAUCAAAGCUUCAUUGCACUGGUCUGACGCCCUGGAUGAGUCCAAUAAUGGAGCAGGUGGAUCUGAAGGAAGACACCAUGAAAUGGGCACGAGGUUGGAGCAGACUCAUGAGGCUUUGCCAAAUCUGAGCCAGGCAGUGAGG
rnacentral:lncRNA from 1 species